rnacentral:rRNA from 1 species
UACGGAGGGUGCAAGCGUUUAUCCGGAUUCACUGGGUUUAAAGGGUGCGUAGGCGGGUAUGUAAGUCAGUGGUGAAAUCCCCGAGCUUAACUCGGGAACUGCCAUUGAUACUAUAUGUCUUGAAUAUCCUGGAGGUCUGCGGAAUAUGAUCAUGUAGCGGUGAAAUGCUUAGAGAUGACAUAGAACACCAAUUGCGAAGGCAGCUUACUACACGAAUCAUUGAC